UACGUGGGGUGCAAGCGUUAAUCGGAAUUACUGGGCGUAAAGCGUGCGCAGGCGGCCUUGCAAGACAGGUGUGAAAUCCCCGGGCUUAACCUGGGAACUGCACUUGUGACUGCAAGGCUGGAGUACGGCAGAGGGGGAUGGAAUUCCGCGUGUAGCAGUGAAAUGCGUAGAUAUGCGGAGGAACACCGAUGGCGAAGGCAAUCCCCUGGGCCUGUACUGACGCUCAUGCACGAAAGCGUGGGGAGCAAACAGG
rnacentral:rRNA from 1 species